rnacentral:rRNA from 1 species
UACGUAGGGGGCAAGCGUUGUCCGGAAUCAUUGGGCGUAAAGAGCGUGUAGGCGGCCAGAAAAGUCCGCUGUGAAAACUCGAGGCUCAACUUCGAGCUGUCGGUGGAAACUUUCUGGCUAGAGUCCGGAAGAGGCGAGUGGAAUUCCCGGUGUAGCGGUGAAAUGCGCAGAUAUCGGGAGGAACACCAAUGGCGAAGGCAGCUCGCUGGGACGUUACUGACGCUGAGACGCGAAAGCGUGGGGAGCAAACAGG